AGUGAACGCUGGCGGUAGGCCUAACACAUGCAAGUCGAACGGCAGCACAGUAAGAGCUUGCUCUUACGGGUGGCGAGUGGCGGACGGGUGAGGAAUACAUCGGAAUCUACUUUUUCGUGGGGGAUAACGUAGGGAAACUUACGCUAAUACCGCAUACGACCUACGGGUGAAAGCAGGGGAUCUUCGGACCUUGCGCGAUUGAAUGAGCCGAUGUCGGAUUAGCUAGUUGGCGGGGUAAAGUCCCACCACGGCGACGAUCCGUAGCUGGUCUGAGAGGAUGAUCAGCCACACUGGAAAUGAGACACGGUCCAGGCUCCUUAGGGAGGGAGCAGUUGUGAAUAUUAGACAAUAGGCGCAAGCCUGAUCCAGGCAUACCGCGUUGGUAAAGAAGGCCUUGGGGUUGUAAAGCCCUUUUGUUGGGAAAGAAAAGCAGCAGGUUAGUACCUCGCUGUUCUGACGGUACCCAAAGAAUAAGCACCGGCUAACUUCGUG
rnacentral:rRNA from 1 species